AUUUAAUGAAGAAUAAGACAUAUUCAUCUUUCUUUCAAGUGUGAGCUAUGAGUGAGCAGAACAUUUUUUAGGGUCUUUUUAAUUAUUUGGACUUGUACAGCUGAAUGGGAACUUAUUUCGGCUCAGACUGUUUCUGAGCUAUUUGCUUUGGCUUUUGGCUUCAAUACAUCAUUGUUCUUUUUUUUCCCCCCUCUUUUUUUGAUAUUUUUUCUGUGGAGGUAGGUGACUGAAAAAACACAAUUUCACUUCUCUUGCUUCUUUGCCAUGACUGAGGAAGGGAAGAAAUGAACCCCAGAGACUGCAGGCUGACUGUGCUGAAGUCAGAUCCACCACCCUUCACAAAUGUUUCACUUCAUCUUCCAAACUGAUGACAAUAUUUGUGGAAAGCCAAGAAUUUGACAGGGGAGCAUAGUGGUCUCCAGAAAAAUGUGGUUCUCUAAUUUUCUGAAUAGAGGUAGGAAGGCGAAUAGCCAUUAGGUCUAAAAGAUACUGGGGGAGGUUUUGUAGAAUGGAAAAACAGAGAGAAAAAAAACCCUAAUCAUGCACACUCAUAUUCAUCCAUAUGACUGAACAUUUGCCACUUCUAUAGGAUGCCAGGCUAAAAAACACCCUACAACUCUCAGAUUUGCUGAGAUGACUCAAAGGACCGGGAAAAGUGAACUCAAGUUCCUGGUGGCUUCCAAAUGUGUUUAUUCAGUGUUAGUCUGAUGACAGCCUGAUCUUGAAAGAGAACAGGUAAGACUGUGAUGACACUGUCAUAUCCGUGAAGGAGAGAAGCUUAAAAAAGUAUAGUGUAUGCUCUAGUUCUUGCUUAUUCAUUUCUAAUACAUUGUUUGGCUGUAAAACAGUCAUGUCCUGGUCACUCUUACGUUGUUGGGAUUACAUGAAUAGAGAAAUGUUACCCUGACAUGCCUGCUCAGCCUUCAGCAGGCACUUUCUGCAAAUAUUAGACUACCAUAACAGAGCCCUUUAAAUGCAGAAGGUACUGGUUCAACAUCCUGUACCUAAAUGGCUUAAAAGAACUUUUGGGGCAUUUCCAGGACAUCAAAUAUUCCCUUGGCAGUGACCUUUGAGUUGCCUGUCCUGCAUUAGCACAUAAUAUACACAGCAAAACAGCAUGAUUCCACACGUAGCACAACAUACAUAUGCUUUUUGCAUCUCCUCUUAACAAUAAAUUCAUAAUGGUCACUGUGAAACUCACCAUAUCGCAUGACUGUUAUAUUAAUUCCUUCUUUAUUAUCCCUGUAAAUGUUUACCCAGACAAAAUUUGAUAUUAUGACUGACUUUAGUGAUAGUGAAAGGAGAAAAGUGUUUAAGGACAAGGGAUUUAUGGCUCUGACAGACAUGUUGGAGUGAAUCUUUCACAAGGAACAAAGGCUUUACCUGCCUGCUCCUCUCCUUUGCCCAAGAUCAGCAUUCUUAGGACCAACAGCAGAAUGGAGUACUGCCUGGUAGUACUGAGGGUCCUGCUGAGAUUCAAAGUAUGGCAACUUGGAUAAAAUCAAAACCAGCUCAUAGAGAUGCAUUUAUUCACAUGUGCAGACAAGCCCCAGACUGCAAGGAAUGGCUCCAGUUUCGCUCAUGGAAGUGGUCCUUCCCACGAAUUCUUUCUGGGUGUUAAUGUCACUGAAAUCCAGAGGCCAAAUUCUUGGCUCCAUGGGUCCCCUUUCUGCAGCAGCCUGGCAUUGUGAAGAGGCUGUAAAGCUGAUCCAAGAAGCCAGCUGAACCUUUUCUCUGGCACAGAGAGAAGCAUCAUCAAGACCAGGCUAUUUCCACUGGAAAAUUGAGCCUUAUUCUGCUCAAGAAAUGAAUGUGCUGUAAUGAAAUUUUACAACCUUCAUAAUAAGUCCAUUAUAGAGAUUGUGACAAAACAUGAAAAGGCUUUCAACUUCCAGUAGUUUCAUGCUAACCCAGAAGAAUUUUAGCCAGUUCUAAGCCUGUUUUGUGAUGAUCAGUUGGUGUCAGAUACAGGUUUGUUUAAACAUUAUAUUUUACAACCAUAAAUUUGGCUUUUUAGCUGGAAUUCGAACUUAGACUUUAUUGCUAAUCCACAGUCAGUGACUGAACUGGUAUUUCACAAGUUCCUCUGUGGACUUUCAUAUUCUGAAAGUGUCUAUUUUAAACCUGCAGUCUGAUAUCACCAUCCCAUUACUAAGUAUCCAUCUCACACCUGAAUACAUAACUGCUAAAUAACAGUAAAUCUGCCUGUUUUGCUUUUGCUUCUCUUUAGAGCAGGAGAUUCUUUAGUGCCUUAUUAAAGCAGUCAUUAUGUUUUACUAUCAUUCCUCUUCAUAGCUGGGAAACUGGGAAUCUGUGGCACAGAGCAGCAAAACAGCAAGGGUAACCCAGCAGGAGGUGUCAAUACCAGGUGUCAUAGUAGGAGACUUGAGUUUAAUUCAGUGAGGUUGCAAUUAGGUCACAUUAGGCAUGUAAGCAUUUUUAAUACAUUUGGUGCUACCUGAGAAGUGGUUUGUGUCAGAUAUUCUAUUUCAUUCUCUUGUCAUCCAGGAGAUAGUUCAAAUUCAAGAUUCAUUAUCUAUCAAUAUAAAUGCCAGUGUUACUGGCACAAUUUUUGUUCUCUUCCUCAGUUCCCUUGGUCAGCUCAUACUGCCAUUCCUUCCUGUUAGGACAGACUCUCUCAUUAUUUUUCUGUAGAGUAUGUACUUUUGCUUCCUCUCUCCUUGGCUUCCUUCUCUCAUAAGUUUUUGUUGUGCUGAGAUGCACAAGUGACAAUCCAUUUACUUCAUCAGCCUGUCAAUAGGAAAGGUGGAUUGCUGCUGCUGAGACCUGUGGCUUCUUCUUCAGGCCCAGGAUGGACAGAACACAGGUCUAACUGAGAGCCACCCAGGUGAUGCAUCCUGAACCUGUCCAGAGAUGCCAUCUGAGGUAACCCACCAAGUCACUGGGAAGCAGAGCUUCAUGUUUCAUUGGACUUUCUCUGCAUUUCUUAAUUACGUGGUGACUGGAGUCACUGCAUUACUCACAUGUACCUUCUCUACCCAGGCCGGACAGUAUUUGACAAGAGCAGGCUCUGCAACUUAACACUACUAACAGGUGAUUAAGAUGCAUGAUCUUGCUCUCUGUCAUCCUUCUCUUACCUAACUUCUGCCAGAAAGCUUUCUUGGGAAAAUUAUUUUCACAGCUAGGUUUAGAGAACAGACAGCUGGUGCAGGGCAAGAAUAUGUUAGUUUAUAACCACAUCUUUUCCAAUGAAGCUUCAUCUAAAAUAGCUUCAAUUUUCAGGCAGUUACUGAGCGAUUUGAGGGGGUGAUGGAAUAACAUGCUAGAUGGAAUUAAAUUCCAAACAGAGGGGCUGGGCACUAAGUGGAAAUGUUCUAAAUGUGAAGAGACCAUCUCCAAAUGCAGGCUUGGGUUACAGAAAUAGAGUAUUGCUGCUAGGGACACAUUUCUAGUCCCAUUCCUGGGUCAGUAUGUGUCACGACAAUGAAUAUGUAUAUACAUGGUGAUCUGCAGUAUAACUAAUUCAGCUGCUGUCAAAACACCUGGUAAUCCAGAGAUGGUCCAAAGUCCCUUGAAGUCAAGGGCCCUUUCCAUUGACUUCAAAGGACUCUAGAUCCAUGUUGUAGGAAUGGCAAGCCCAGCUCAUUGCCGGAACAAAUGGUGACAACUCAAUGGAAACCAGUGUAAUUGUUUGCUGUGCCAGCAGUGAAUCUGGCCUAAAGACUUUGUUCAGCAGCGAUCAGAGACUGCACAGUUUAUUCAGUGGUUCAGAAGGUAAAUAAAUUUUCAUGGCCACCAGGGUAUCAGCCAUGUUAUGCACUCAAUUACAUUUUGACUGGAUGAAAUAGUUCUUUUCUGCAAUCAUUUAUUUAAAUGCUCUUUCUUUGUUGUUGUUGAAACAGUCACCAAUUGCUUACUCUACUUAUCUAAAAUGCUGCUUAAUAUUUGAAUCUUUACUUUUCACACAGCAGCAACGUAAUAAAGUUGAUUGAAUGAUUA